UAAAUAUAUAUAUAUAUAUAUACUAUAAUAAAAUAUUCUCAAAUUGAUAUUAAUUAUCACUCUAACCAUCGUGCUAUAAUGUUAUCAGGCACCCAGUUAAACAGCAAUGAUGGUUAAACUGUUGAUAGAGCCGCGGACGAUGGAUAAAUAUUCUCACACUGAGAGGCUUAUAGACUGGCAUUCUCCAGAUUCAGGGGGGUGUAAAAUCAACAUUGAUGGUUUUAAUACAGGAGGGUUGCUUAGAGAUCAUACAGGGACUUGGAAAGGUGUCUUUACUAUGAACAUUGGUCAUCAUUCUGUAACUGCAACAGAACUACAGGAAGUUCAUCAAGGACCUACAAAUUGCAUAGGAGAAGGGCUUCAAUAAAUGCAAUGUGGAAGUUGACAGCUUGAGUUGUUAAUAUAUAUGAUCUUCGAUAAAAAUCAAACAUCCACAAAAAUUGAAUUUUAAUUCACAGCAUUCAUCAAAGGGAUUAAGAGGAAAGUUCAACACAUCUAUCAGGAGAUCAAAUCAUACAAAUAAUUGGCUUGCCAUUUAUGAGAAUGAUUCCUCCUAAAGUUCCUAAAAUUGAAGUUCUCUGGAUAUAUAGUUCUCUCUCUCUCUCUCUCU
rnacentral:misc_RNA from 1 species